rnacentral:rRNA from 1 species
CCUACGGGAGGCAGCAGUGGGGAAUUUUGCGCAAUGCUCGUAAGAGUGACGCAGCGACGCCGCGUGAAUGACGAAGGCCUUCGGGUCGUAAAGUUCUUUCGACAGGGAAGAAAAUGCCUAUAAGUAACUGUGUAUGUAUUGACGGUACCUGUAUAAGCAGCCCCGGCUAACUCCGUGCCAGCAGCCGCGGUAAUACGGAGGGGGCGAGCGUUGUUCGGAGGGACUGGGCGUAAAGAGCACGUAGGCGGUGUUGUAAGUCAUUAGUCAAAGACUAGAGCUCAACUUUAGUAAGGCUAGUGAUACUAUAAUACUAGAGUAUCAGAGAGGAUUGCAGAAUUCCUGGUGUAGCGGUGAAAUGCGUAGAUAUCAGGAGGAAUACCGUUAGCGAAGGCGGCAAUCUGGCUGGAAACUGACGCUGAGGUGCGAAAGCGUGGGUAGCAAACAGGAUUAGAUACCCUUGUAGUA